GAUGAAGAACGUAGCGAAAUGCGAUAAGUAGUGUGAAUUGCAGAAUUCAGUGAAUCAUCGAAUCUUUGAACGCACAUUGCGCCCCUUGGUAUUCCAUGGGGCAUGUCUGUUCGAGCGUCAUUUGUACCUUCAAGCUUUGCUUGGUGUUGGGUGUUUGUCCUGAGGGACUCGCCUUAAAGUAAUUGGCAGCCAGUGUUUUGGUUUUGAAGCGCAGCACAAGUCGCGAUUCAAAGCUAUACGCCAGCUUCCACAAGCCUUUUUCACUUUUGACCUCGGAUCAGGUAGGGAUACCCGCUGAACUUAAGCAUAUCAAUAAGCGGAGGA
rnacentral:misc_RNA from 1 species